UACAGAGGUCUCAAGCGUUGUUCGGAUUCAUUGGGCAUAAAGGGUGCGUAGGCGGCGCGGUAAGUCGGGUGUGAAAUCUCGGGGCUUAACUCCGAAACUGCAUUCGAUACUGCCGUGCUUGAGGACUGGAGAGGAGACUGGAAUUUACGGUGUAGCGGUGAAAUGCGUAGAUAUCGUAAGGAAGACCAGUGGCGAAGGCGGGUCUCGUGGACAGUUCCUGACGCUGAGGCACGAAGGUCAGGGGAGCAAACGGG
rnacentral:rRNA from 1 species